rnacentral:snRNA from 1 species
AUCCUUUAGUGAGGCAGGCGCUUCAUCCAGUGAGGUCUUUACCGAGGAGAAGCUUAUUGCUGAUUGCAAAUUACCAUAUUGCACGUCCUUGCUGUCAUCUAUGACUGCCUGGCAAUUUUUGGCACCCAUUCCU